rnacentral:tRNA from 1 species
GCAUUGGUGGUUCAGUGGUAUAAUUCUUGGCUUCCAUAUGGGAGAUCUGAGUUAGCUUCCCAGCCAAUGCA